AAUGGAAUUUCUGGGUUAUACGGUAACUCUAUGCUUAACUUUUUGAGUAACUACCAGACUGUUUUCCAAAAUGGCCACACCAUUUUACAUUCCCAUCAGAAAU
rnacentral:pre_miRNA from 1 species